UAAUUUUCAUCCUACACCGUUAGAUCGAGAAAUGGACGUUCGAGAUUCGUCCACGUCACCAUGAGUUAAAAUUUAACUCUCAGUAAAUUUUAACUCAUGAGUGAAUCUGCGAGUUAAAUUUUAACUCAGGGUGACGUGGACGAAUCUCGGACGUCUAUUUCUCGAUCCAACGGUGUAGAAUGAGAGUUG
rnacentral:pre_miRNA from 17 species